rnacentral:lncRNA from 10 species
GACGCCUAAUUUUGUAUUUUUUUUUUUUUUUUAGAGAUGGGGUCUUGCUAUGUUGCCCACGCUUGUCUCCAACUCAGCUCAAGCAAUCCUCCCGCCUCAGUCACUGGGAGUUAAAAGCUGUCUGGGACUUAGAGAAGAGUUACUGGGCUGGCUGUGGUCAGAGACCAGGUGUCUGUGGUGGCUCCAGUCACCAGGCCAGGUGAACUCCUCCAAGCAGAGCUCAGCAGCCCAAUUCUUGGCUCAGAAGAGGUGGGCUUUGGGAUUUGUCCACACUUCGUUUUCCAGGAAGGGCUCCAAAUGCUGAGAAUCUUAAUAAGCUCCUUCUGGGGAGCUUGUUCCACUGUCACCCCACCUUCCUGAGUACUCACGUAUCUAGAGCAACUGGAGCCACGUGGUGUGUGGAUCCACCUGGGCACUGUCUCUGAGCACAGCCCCUCCUCCAGUUCACUGCGCCAAGCCAGAAACCUGGGUGCACCCUGACCCCUCCUGCUCUGCACCUGCUGUCUGCUUUCAGUCCCGGGUUGACCUGGUCUCCUUGAUCUCUGCUCCCCCUGCUCUUCCCCGUGCCCCACAGUGACCCUCGCCUGCUCCUCCGUCACGGGAUCAUUGCAGCAGCACUCUUCAUGCUCCUGGUCACUUCCUCCACAACCCCAGAGUCAUCUCAUAACAAGUCAGCCUGCCUUAACAGUUUCCAUGUCACACAAACAGCUUGAGAGAGGCUGUGCAACUCACCCACAGCAGCCGCGAUCUGGGCCUCCUCCUAUGUUCCCCUGUUCAGACCCCUGCUCCAUGAACUGGGCGGACCCAUGUCCACUAAAGUGCUGAGGAAGUGACAGCGUGUGAUUUCUGAGGCUAGAUCAUAAAGGGCACAGCAGUUCUCACCUCACUCUUCUGCCUGGGUUACUGCAGAGUAAGCCAGCUACCAGUAAGCCACCCCAGCAACCCUUUGGAGAGGCAUGCGUGGAGAGCAGCCAAGGCCCUGGUGGUCCCCGGCCUCCUUGCCGUGUGAGUGAACCGUGCUGGAAGUGGGUUUUCUGGCUCCAGACCUCAGACACUGCAGCCUGUAUGGCGUCUUCCCUGAGACCUCAUAUGACCUCAAACUCAUACACUGGGUCUGUGGAAGGGAGCAGAUAACCUCUCUGUUUCUAGUUCUUAGACUAAGAGGAACUGGACACCAGGAGCCUCAUACCAGGACUGCCCAGCCGAGCCACUCGAUUCCUGACCCACAUGGCCCUUGAGAUGACAAGUGAUUGCUGCUUAAAGUCACUGAGUUCUGGAAUAAUUUACAUCAUGGCAAUAGGUAACUAAUGCAGAUUCUGGUACCUGGAAAAGGAGUGCUGACAUCAAACAGCUCUAUAGAUGUGGGCGUGGCCUCAGAACUGGCCACAGGCAGGAGCCAGAAGGACUCUGUGGAAAGCGUGAGUGUCUAAGG